GGGGAUGAAAGGAUUUCGACUGGGACAGGGAGUCUCGGUAAGCAUGCAGAGGAGCUGCACCGCUUUAAAAGCAGCACCCUAAAAUUAACUGACAACAAUAGAUCAGUAGCUUUGGCUGCUUAAGCAGCCUUCGUCCGUUUGCGGAGUGCCGCGGCUGCAAAACGGGCGUCGUGCAGCGGCGAACAUGAACGGGGGACCGGCUCGGCUCCCGUCAGGUAUCAGAGCCUACCGAAGCGAUAAGGCUGUUUGCUGCCGUGUCGCCGGGGAAAUCCCAAAUAACAAACUAAGCAUGUAGAAAGCCUUGAUAAGAGGUUUCAGGACGCGGUUUCGAUUACCGCCAUCUCCACCA
rnacentral:tmRNA from 2 species